rnacentral:rRNA from 1 species
AUUGAACGCUGGCGGCAUGCCUUACACAUGCAAGUCGAACGGUAACAGGUCUUCGGAUGCUGACGAGUGGCGAACGGGUGAGUAAUACAUCGGAACGUGCCUAGCAGUGGGGGAUAACUACUCGAAAGAGUGGCUAAUACCGCAUGAGAUCUACGGAUGAAAGCAGGGGAUCGCAAGACCUUGUGCUACUAAAGCGGCCGAUGGCAGAUUAGGUAGUUGGUGGGAUAAAAGCUUACCAAGCCGACGAUCUGUAGCUGGUCUGAGAGGACGAUCAGCCACACUGGGACCGAGACACGGCCCAGACUCCUACGGGAGGCGGCAGUGGGGAAUUUUGGACAAUGGGCGAAAGCCUGAUCCAGCAAUGCCGCGUGCAGGAUGAAGGCCUUCGGGUUGUAAACUGCUUUUGUACGGAACGAAAAGCCCCGGGUUAAUACCCUGGGGUCAUGACGGUACCGUAAGAAUAAGCACCGGCUAACUACGUGCCAGCCGCCGCCGUAA